rnacentral:rRNA from 1 species
GAUGAACGCUGGCGGCGUGCCUAAUACAUGCAAGUCGAGCGAAUGGAUUAAGAGCUUGCUCUUAUGAAGUUAGCGGCGGACGGGUGAGUAACACGUGGGUAACCUGCCCAUAAGACUGGGAUAACUCCGGGAAACCGGGGCUAAUACCGGAUAACAUUUUGAACCGCAUGGUUCGAAAUUGAAAGGCGGCUGCGGCUGUCACUUAUGGAUGGACCCGCGUCGCAUUAGCUAGUUGGUGAGGUAACGGCUCACCAAGGCAAGGAUUCGUAGCCGACCUGAGAGGGUGAUCGGCCACACUGGGACUGAGACACGGCCCAGACUCCUACGGGAGGCAGCAGUAGGGAAUCUUCCGCAAUGAACGAAAGUCUGACGGAGCAACGCCGCGUGAGUGAUGAAGGCUUUCGGGUCGUAAAACUCUGUUGUUAGGGAAGAACAAGUGCUAGUUGAAUAAGCUGGCACCUUGACGGUACCUAACCAGAAAGCCACGGCUAACUACGUGCCAGCCGCCGCAGUAA